rnacentral:rRNA from 1 species
CGCGUAGGCGGCUAGGCAAGUCAGAGGUGAAAUCCCUCGGCUCAACCGAGGAACUGCCUCUGAUACUGCCUGGCUUGAGUCCCGGAGAGGGUAGUGGAAUUCCCAGUGUAGCGGUGAAAUGCGUAGAUAUUGGGAGGAACACCGGUGGCGAAGGCGGCUAUCUGGAUGGGUACUGAUGCUGAGGCGCGAAAGCGUGGGGAGCAAACA